rnacentral:rRNA from 1 species
AUUGAACGCUGGCGGCAUGCUUUACACAUGCAAGUCGAACGGUAACAGGUUAAGCUGACGAGUGGCGAACGGGUGAGUAAUGCAUCGGAACGUGCCCGGUCGUGGGGGAUAACGCAGCGAAAGCUGCGCUAAUACCGCAUCCGAUCUGAGGAUGAAAGCGGGGGACCGUAAGGCCUCGCGCGAUCGUAGCGGCCGAUGUCAGAUUAGGUAGUUGGUGGGGUAAAGGCUCACCAAGCCAACGAUCGGUAGGUGGUCGGAGAGGACGACCAGCCACACUGGGACUGAGACACGGCACAGACUCCUACGGGAGGCAGCGGUGGGGAAUUUUGGACAAUGGGCGAAAGCCUGAUCCAGCAAUGCCGCGUGCAGGAAGAAGGCCUUCGGGUUGUAAACUGCUUUUGUACGGAGCGAAAAGGUCUCCUCUAAUACAGGGGGCUCAUGACGGUACCGUAAGAAUAAGCACCGGCUAACUACGUGCCAGCAGCCGCCGUAA